rnacentral:rRNA from 1 species
AUUGAACGCUGGCGGCAGGCCUAACACAUGCAAGUCGAGCGGAUGAAGGGAGCUUGCUCCUGGAUUCAGCGGCGGACGGGUGAGUAAUGCCUAAGAAUCUGCCUGGUAGUGGGGGAUAACGUCCGGAAACGGGCGCUAAUACCGCAUACGUCCUGAGGGAGAAAGUGGGGGAUCUUCGGACUUCACGCUAUCAGAUGAGCCUAGGUCGGAUUAGCUAGUUGGUGGGGUAAAGGCCUACCAAGGCGACGAUCCGUAACUGGUCUGAGAGGAUGAUCAGUCACACUGGAACUGAGACACGGUCCAGACUCCUACGGGAGGCAGCAGUGGGGAAUAUUGGACAAUGGGCGAAAGCCUGAUCCAGCCAUGCCGCGUGUGUGAAGAAGGUCUUCGGAUUGUAAAGCACUUUAAGUUGGGAGGAAGGGCAGUAAGUUAAUACCUUGCUGUUUUGACGUUACCAACAGAAUAAGCACCGGCUAACUUCGUG